rnacentral:rRNA from 1 species
ACUCAAAUGAAUUGACGGGGGCCCGCACAAGCAGCGGAGCAUGUGGUUUAAUUCGAUGCAACGCGAAAAACCUUACCAGGGCUUGACAUCCUCUGAAGCUAUAAGAGAUUAUAGUGUCCCUUCGGGGCAGAGUGACAGGUGGUGCAUGGUUGUCGUCAGCUCGUGUCGUGAGAUGUUGGGUUAAGUCCCGCAACGAGCGCAACCCUUAUCCUCAGUUGCCAUCACUUCGGGUGGGCACUCUGAGGAGACUGCCGGUGACAAACCGGAGGAAGGUGGGGAUGACGUCAAAUCAUCAUGCCCCUUAUGUCCUGGGCUACACACGUGCUACAAUGGCCUGAACAACGGGCAUGCGAAGGAGCGAUCCGGAGCCAAUCCCUUAAAUCAGGUCCCAGUUCGGAUUGCAGGCUGCAACUCGCCUGCAUGAAGUAGGAGUUGCUAGUAAUCGCGGAUCAGCAUGCCGCGGUGAAUGCGUUCCCGGGCCUUGUACACACCGCCCGU